GAGUGAAUCAAAUACCCAAUACCUGGGCCGAUUAUCAAAUCAGAAACCCCAAAACAGUAGCAGAGAGUAUCGUUCCCAAAUCUGAAACCCUACAAUUUCGAAAUGGUAUCAAAUCAGUAGCAGAAGUCAAAUUCGACGAAGAACUAACCCAAGAAAUCAAGUCAACAUACUCUCUGUCUUGAUUUCCAGCAAAACAAUCGGUUUUCAUCUUUGAAUCAUAGUGAAUGCGAAGGUGGGUCGGAGGUGGGUUCUGCGGCGGCCGGAGAACCAGCCAAGGAGGUGGGAGGAGGGGGGUUUGGGGUUGGGCAAGGUGGCGGAGGAGUGGAUCGAUUCGACCCGGAGGGGUGUAGAAGGAGAGGGAGGAAAAACAAUUUAUAAUUCUUACUCCGAUUUCGAUCUGAAUCUAUCACUGUUAAAUAUCUCUAUAUCAAUGCCGGAAUAAGAAGAAGUCAAAAUCUUCCUGCUUAUUUUAUUAAUUCCUUGUUGCUAUCUGCUAAUUGAUUUGUCUGUUUCGCCGA